rnacentral:rRNA from 1 species
GACGCACUUCUGGCGGCGUGCUUAACACAUGCAAGUCGAACGGAAAGGCCCUGCUUUUGUGGGGUGCUCGAGUGGCGAACGGGUGAGUAACACGUGAGUAACCUGCCCUUGACUUUGGGAUAACUUCAGGAAACUGGGGCUAAUACCGGAUAGGAGCUCCUGCUGCAUGGUGGGGGUUGGAAAGUUUCGGCGGUUGGGGAUGGACUCGCGGCUUAUCAGCUUGUUGGUGGGGUAGUGGCUUACCAAGGCUUUGACGGGUAGCCGGCCUGAGAGGGUGACCGGCCACAUUGGGACUGAGAUACGGCCCAGACUCCUACGGGAGGCAGCAGUGGGGAAUAUUGCACAAUGGGCGGAAGCCUGAUGCAGCAACGCCGCGUGCGGGAUGACGGCCUUCGGGUUGUAAACCGCUUUCGCCUGUGACGAAGCGUGAGUGACGGUAAUGGGUAAAGAAGCACCGGCUAACUACGUGCCAGCAGCCGCGGUGAUACGUAGGGUGCGAGCGUUGUCCGGAUUUAUUGGGCGUAAAGGGCUCGUAGGUGGUUGAUCGCGUCGGAAGUGUAAUCUUGGGGCUUAUCCUGAGCGUGCUUUCGAUACGGGUUGACUUGAGGAAGGUAGGGGAGAAUGGAAUUCCUGGUGGAGCGGUGGAAUGCGCAGAUAUCAGGAGGAACACCAGUGGCGAAGGCGGUUCUCUGGGCCUUUCCUGACGCUGAGGAGCGAAAGCGUGGGGAGCGAACAGGCUUAGAUACCCUGGUAGUCCACGCUGUAAACGGUGGGUACUAGGUGUGGGGUCCAUUCCACGGGUUCCGUGCCGUAGCUAACGCUUUAAGUACCCCGCCUGGGGAGUACGGCCGCAAGGCUAAAACUCAAAGGAAUUGACGGGGCCCCGCACAAGCGGCGGAGCAUGCGGAUUAAUUCGAUGCAACGCGUAGAACCUUACCUGGGUUUGACAUGGAUCGGGAGCGCUCAGAGAUGGGUGUGCCUCUUUUGGGGUCGGUUCACAGGUGGUGCAUGGCUGUCGUCAGCUCGUGUCGUGAGAUGUUGGGUUAAGUCCCGCAACGAGCGCAACCCUUGUUCACUGUUGCCAGCACGUUAUGGUGGGGACUCAGUGGAGACCGCCGGGGUCAACUCGGAGGAAGGUGGGGAUGACGUCAAGUCAUCAUGCCCCUUAUGUCCAGGGCUUCACGCAUGCUACAAUGGCUGGUACAGAGAGUGGCGAGCCUGUGAGGGUGAGCGAAUCUCGGAAAGCCGGUCUCAGUUCGGAUUGGGGUCUGCAACUCGACCUCAUGAAGUCGGAGUCGCUAGUAAUCGCAGAUCAGCAACGCUGCGGUGAAUACGUUCCCGGGGCU